GGCACAUGUUUUGAUCCGAUGGACCAACCAGAGGCCGCAGGAGGUUUAAAAUCGGCAGCGGCUGAUACGAACGUCGUGAGUGAUUAUCCUGGCGUUUCUCGGCGAGAGAUCAAAGUGUUUAUUGAUGACAUCACGCGUUCAGCACGCGGAACGUUACACGUGAGGAACAGCGUCCUCCGUUUAUGAACCGUUUUUCGGGUUGGUGACUUCAUCGCAGGGAGGGGCGGACCUCAGUCUCUUUGAUUGGCCUGCUGGCUGUCACUGACAUCAUCACAUGGCGGAGGGGCGCGAGCUUCACAGAGCGUCUGAACAGUGAGUGUUUGAUCAAUAAUCACCACAGACAGGAAGUGACCUGAGCUAACGGCUGUCUGCUACCUGCAGCUCCACCUGUCAGAGGGGGGCGCAGCUGAGCGGGGGGGAGGGGCCUCAGGAGACCGGCGCAGCCAAUCAGAGGAGUUCCUACUGCAAAGAUCAGCUGAUGAGAGGAGAAGAGGAGCUGAGCUUCGAGGAGCUGAGAGCCGAAAGAUACAACCAGCGCAGACAGAGGGAUAACCAAGACAAACUGACACAUCUGACAGAACUGAAGCAGCAGCUGAGUCUGGAGCUGGAGGAGAGGAAGAAACUCUUACUGCAGAGUCAGCAGCUGCCCCAGCAUGCCUGCGCUCUCGUCGGGGACUCGGACAGACCUGCCGCCUUCUUCCAGAUCCAUGAGUCGCGGUCUGCUGCUGCACGGCCUGCUGGAACCCCUUCAGAUGAGCUGCUGCACAGCGGUUCUUUGCCCCCUGAUGAGAGAGGACUGUCUGUGAAGAUCCAGUAUCCCGGGCAACCAGGUGAGCCCCUGUCAGGAGCUAACGUCAGCCAAUCAGAUCCAAGCGUUCCAGUGCUUGUUGAAGUGUGUCACGUGUUUGCGGUGCUAUACUGAUGUGAUUUCUUCUCCUGCUGCUCGGCUCUUUAAAAUGACGUGUUUAUCUGCGGUCUGAGGGUCACAUGACUUCAGCGCUCUGUUGACAGUCAUGUGUUCAUGUUGUGAACAUGUGACGACCAUCAGGUCACCAGGGAGCGACCGCAGAACGCCUUCAGACACGACCUGCAGCCUCAAAAGACAAAGAGACGCUGAGCCCCAUCCAGGAAGCGAGCGUGGAGGCCGCCUCCCUCGGAGCGCUGUCUGCUGGGAGCUGUGGUCCGCUGCAGGGCGAGCGGGAGGGGGUGGAUGGGAUCCCGGUGUGCGGUGAGGCCGCUCAGAAUCAGCAGCUCUGAUCCACCUCCAGCCCAGCCCACUGACCUCUGAGCUGUGUUUCUCUUCCAGCUGGGGGCGCAGUGAGCCCCUGUGAUCCCGACCUUCGGCGCCGGCUAUUGGACCAGAGUGAUGUCACUUCCUCUCCAGAUUUCCACUCAGAGUCCUGUCCCCUCCCAGCUGUGGAGGAGCACAGCUGCCUGUACCUGGGUACAAAAACAGAGCUGGUGAAAAAUUCAUACAUACAACACAAAAUGUCCCCCUGGGUCCCUGUCUCUGUGUGUCUCUGUGUGUCUGUGUCUGUCUCUGUGUCUCUGCUUGUCUUUGUGUCUGUCUCUGUCCGUCUGUGUUUCUGUGUGUCUGUCUCUGUGUGUGUCUCUGUCUGUGUGUGUCUGUCACUGUGUGUGUGUGUCUGCGUGUCUGUCUGUAUGUCUGUCUCUGUGUGUGUGUCUGUCUCUGUGUGUGUGUGUCUGCGUGUCUGUCCGUAUGUCUGUCUCUGUG
rnacentral:lncRNA from 1 species